ACUUUUAAAGGAUAGCAGUCAAUCCAGUGGU
rnacentral:tRNA from 1 species